GAUGAACGCUGGCGGCGUGCCUAAUACAUGCAAGUAGAACGCUGAAGGAGGAGCUUGCUCUUCUGGAUGAGUUGCGAACGGGUGAGUAACGCGUAGGUAACCUGCCUGGUAGCGGGGGAUAACUAUUGGAAACGAUAGCUAAUACCGCAUGACAACAGUUAUUGCAUGAUAACUGUUUAAAAGGGGCAACUGCUCCACUACCAGAUGGCCCUGCGUUGUAUUAGCUAGUUGGUGAGGUAACGGCUCACCAAGGCGACGAUACAUAGCCGACCUGAGAGGGUGAUCGGCCACACUGGGACUGAGACACGGCCCAGACUCCUACGGGAGGCAGCAGUAGGGAAUCUUCGGCAAUGGACGGAAGUCUGACCGAGCAACGCCGCGUGAGUGAAGAAGGUUUUCGGAUCGUAAAGCUCUGUUGUAAGAGAAGAACGAGUGUGAGAGUGGAAAGUUCACACUGUGACGGUAUCUUACCAGAAAGGGACGGCUAACUACGU
rnacentral:rRNA from 1 species